rnacentral:rRNA from 1 species
AAAGCAGCCUCUUGGGGCACUGAAUACAUUGCAUGGGAUAAUAAAAUAGGAUCUUCACAAUAUAUUUUAUUGGUUUAAAUUGCGUAUGAAGAUAAUGAUUAAGUAGGGACAGUUGGGGGUAUUCAUAUUGGGUGGUUAGCGGUGAAAUGCUCGGAUCCAUUCAAGAUGAACUAAAGCGAAAGCAUUUACCAAGGAUGUUUUCAUUAAUCAAGAACGAAAGUUAAGGGAUCGAAGACGAUUAGAUACCGUCGUAGUCUUAACUAUAAACUAUGCCGACCAGGGAUAUGAGUUGUUAGGAUUAUAUGAAAAGUAUAAUCAAUUUCUUCUUAUGAACCUUGUGAGAAAUCAUAAGUUUUUGGGUUCUGGGGGGGAGUAUGGUCGCAAGGCUGAAACUUAAAGGAAUUGACGGAGGGGC